UGGCUUGAGUGGUAAGAGCACUUGCCUAGCAAGCAUGAGGCCCUGGGUUCAAACCCCAG
rnacentral:tRNA from 1 species